rnacentral:lncRNA from 1 species
CCACCUACACCUAGUAGUGGAAAUGUUGGUAGUAUUGGAGUUGGAGUUGCUAGUGCUACAAGGGGUAGACCACCAGUGGCUCCAACUUUUACUCGUAAAAAAAAGAAGUCUGGUUUGAAAUUUUUUUGAAAUAAUAGAAGGUACUGAUAGAGUAAGUGCAAACUUUGUAAUGAAACUUUUAAACAUUUACCGGAGGUAAUUUAGGGGGGACUGGGACACUUACUAGACAUAUGACGGCUAUCCAUCCCAUAGGAAUAGAAGAUGAGAUGCCACCUACACCUAGUAGUGGAAAUGUUGGUAGUAUUGGAGUUAGAGUUGCUAGUGCUACAAGGGGUAGUAGACCACCAGAGGCUCCGACUUCUAAUCGUAAAAGAAGAAGUCCGGUAUGGAAAUUUUUUGAAAUAAUAGAAGGUACUAAUAGAGUUAAGUGCAAACUUUUGCUUUGGGUUGUUUACCUUUUUCUUUUGCUUCUUCGUCGUAUCUUAUUAUGUAUAUUCAAAGGAUUUACAAUCCUUUAUUUAAAGGCAUCCCUUGAAGUACUUGUAGAGCAGAUAUAUUUAGACUUCAUGGACAAUAUCAAAC